UGAGAUCAGGGAGCACAGCAGUUUUCUCAGCAGACUCCUAACAGAUGAGGGUAAAGACUCAGAUAAUUCAAAGAUUCGUAGCACUGCAUUCAACUUCCCUUGACCGGUUGUAGACUGAAAAAGAAACGUUACAAUUUAUCUUACUUGGGAAUAGAGCUUGAACAAAGAAGAAAUUGUCUUCAAGCAGGAGCUUCCUAUCAAAAGAAGAUGUGAAUCCAGGGGCAGAGACUUGGGUCAACUGUGUUUGGAUAUAAUCCUGAAGAUGGACGUGCUGACCAUAUUCUGCCUUUGCAUGUACUGAAAAGUGCAGCUACCAGAUUCACAACACCAUGGGCAGUGACCUUACAGCAAGUUUGAGAUUAACUCAGUUUUUCCAAGUGCACUUUCUCUGCAAAGAUCCACUGAUCCCAAUGAAGGGAAAAUGAUGCUUAGAAACAAAAGUGACAAGGUUAGGUUUAAUCCAGCUCACAUAUUCCAUGCAUUGGAAAAUUUAUAUU
rnacentral:sRNA from 1 species